GGAAGGUAAGAAACUUUUCUUAACUUUUAAUUAAAAAAGCUAAGAACCGGUUCUUAAAUAAAGACUUUAAGAACCGGUUCUUAGUUUUUUUAGUUAAAAGUUAAGAAACAGUUUCUUAACUUCC
rfam:Brassica napus, WGS project CCCW01000000 data, contig: 7611